rnacentral:rRNA from 1 species
GACGAACGCUGGCGGCGUGCUUAACACAUGCAAGUCGAACGCUGAAGCUCAGCUUUUGUUGGGUGGAUGAGUGGCGAACGGGUGAGUAACACGUGAGUAACCUGCCCCCUUCUUUGGGAUAACGCCCGGAAACGGGUGCUAAUACUGGAUAUUCACUGGUCUUCGCAUGGGGGUUGGUGGAAAGGGUUUUUCUGGUGGGGGAUGGGCUCGCGGCCUAUCGGCUUGUUGGUGGGGUGAUGGCCUACCAAGGCUUUGACGGGUAGCCGGCCCGGGAGGGUGACCGGUCACAUAGGGACUGCGAUCAGACUCAGACUCAUACGGGAGGCAGCAGUGGGGAAUAUUGAACAAUGGGGGCAAGCCUGAUGCAGCGACGACGCGUGAGGGAUGGAGGCCUUCGGGUUGUGAACCUCUUUAGCUCAUGGUCAAGCCGCAACAAUGGUUGUGGUGAGGGUAGUGGGUAAAGAAGCGCCGGCUAACUACGUG